GUGAGACUGCCGGUGACAAACCGGAGGAAGUGGGGAUGACGUCAAGUCCUCAUGGCCCUUAUGGGUAGGGCUUCACACGUCAUACAAUGGUCGGUACAGAGGGUUGCCAAGCCGCGAGGCGGAGCCAAUCCCACAAAGCCGAUCGUAGUCCGGAUUGUUCUCUGCAACUCGAGAGCAUGAAGUCGGAAUCGCUAGUAAUCGCAGGUCAGCAUACUGCGGUGAAUACGUUCCCGGGUCUU
rnacentral:rRNA from 1 species